CGUUCUCAGUUCGGAUCGGAGUCUGCAACCCGACUCCGUGAAGCUGGAUUCGCUGUAAUCGCGCAUCAGCCAUGGCGCGGUGAAUACGUUCCCGGGCCUUGUACACACCGCCCGUCAAGCCAUGGGAGCCGGGGGUGCUUGAAGUGCGUCGCCGCAAGGCGCGCCCUAGAGCAAAACCGGUGACUGGGGCUAAGUCGUAACAAGGUACC
rnacentral:rRNA from 1 species